GUGGGGAAUAUUCCGCAAUGGACGAAAGUCUGACGGAGCAACGCCGCGUGAGUGAUGAAGGUUUUCGGACUGUAAAGCUCUGUUGUUUGGGACGAAAGUGCCUGUUGCGAACAGUUACGGGUAUUGACGGUACUAAACGAGGAAGCCACGGCUAACUACGUGCCAGCAGCCGCGGUAAUACGUAGGUGGCAAGCGUUGUCCGGAAUUAUUGGGCGUAAAGAGCAUGUAGGCGGGAAUCUAAGUCUGUUGUUAAAAUGCGGGGCUCAACCCCGUAUUGCGAUGGAAACUGGGUUUCUUGAGUGCAGGAGAGGAAAGGGGAAUUCCCAGUGUAGCGGUGAAAUGCGUAGAUAUUGGGAGGAACACCAGUGGCGAAGGCGGCUUACUGGACUGUAACUGACGCUGAGGCGCGAAAGUGUGGGGAGCAAACAGGAUUAGAAACCCCGGUAGUCC
rnacentral:rRNA from 1 species